rnacentral:rRNA from 1 species
ACGCUGGCGGCACGCCUAACACAUGCAAGUCGAACGCAGUAGCAAUACUGAGUGGCAAACGGGUGAGUAUAAUGUGGGAAUCUGCCUUUUGGUUCGGAAUAACACGGGGAAACUUGUGCUAAUACCGAAUAAGCCCUUACGGGGAAAGUUUUAACGCCGAAAGAUGAGCCCGCACUUGAUUAGCUAGUUGGUAAGGUAAAAGCUUACCAAGGCAAUGAUCAAUAGCUGUUCUUAGAGGAAGACCAGCCACAUUGGGACUGAGACACGGCCCAGACUCCUACGGGAGGCAGCAGUGGGGAAUCUUGCACAAUGGGGGAAACCCUGAUGCAGCGAUGCCGCGUGAGUGAAGAAGGCCUUUGGGUUGUAAAACUCUUUCGUCGGGGAAGAAAAUGACUGUACCCGAAUAAGAAGGUCCGGCUAACUUCGUGCCAGCAGCCGCGGUAAUACGAAGGGACCUAGCGUAGUUCGGAAUUACUGGGCUUAAAGAGCUCGUAGGUGGUUAAAAAAGUUGAUGGUGAAAUCCCAAGGCUCAACCUUGGAACUGCCAUCAAAACUUUUUAGCUAGAGUGUGAUAGAGGUAAGUGGAAUUUCUAGUGUAGAGGUGAAAUUCGUAGAUAUUAGAAAGAACACCAAAUGCGAAGGCAACUUACUGGGUCACUACUGACACUGAGGAGCGAAAGCAUGGGUAGCGAAGAGGAUUAGAUACCCUCGUAGUCCAUGCCGUAAACGAUGUGUGCUAGACGUUGGAAAUAUAUUUUUCAGUGU